GGUGGGCUCUGCAUCUGAUCCUGGCAUCUGGCGGCAGGGGCGCACUUACGGCCACGGGGCAAGGGGUGUAUCACCAGUAAGCCUCCCACCUUUCUACGGAUAUUUCAGCAAGGGAGAGAACCUGAAGCACAACUGGUUAUUUCUGCAGUCCGUUAAAAUGUUCCCGUUUCUCAGAGUUUGAAGAUGUCUAGCCUGCCGGAAAGCGCGAGAGCACCUCACAGCACCUACCCCUAGAGCCCAGGCCCUCCUCAGUAGACACAAACUCACCGCAUCUGGUCUGGGGAGGGUGAAAUGCGUUAAGGAGUAAGCAGUGAGAUGUGUGGUGCCCACUAACAGGAGCAGGGAUUUAGGGCGUCGAAGAAAGUGGCAAGUAAAGGCUCUCCCCGCAGAACAACCACGCCCGGUUCCUAUUCCUGUUGAGAUUUCUGCUGUGAUAGGUGUUUACUUUUCUGAUCAAAGUGGCAAUAGCUUCUUACCUCUCAAGACGCUUAUGUUAAUAGAUCUUAAAGUCCCCAGGAAAGAGAAUGGUAAGAGACAGAACGUUGGCAGAGGCAUAAGGACUGCGAGAGGGCCAGCCCAGAGCCCGCUAAGUCACACCUGGUGGUGUCAACCUCUCCUAACUGUAAGGCUCAGGGCGCCUGUCAAUGGGCGUAUCUCAUACUUCACAUUUCAUGAUUCAGUCAGCCUCCAUCGGGACAAAUGAAUUGUCAGCGCUCUUAGAUGCCUCCGGAAAACCAGCUAACACCAAAAGAGUGUGAAGUUUUGGACAAUAAUCAACCAAGGUUUAGGGCUUGGCACAUUGUCUGGUACAUAGCAAGCACUCGGCUUUCCCUAUCUGCUGCCAGAGGAAUCUUCUGAAAGUCAAUGUUUAUCAUGUCCCUCCUGUUAAAAGAAGUUGGAGAAGAAGAGGAAGAAGAAAGGUUGAAUGAAGAGAAGAAGCAUUUUGGAAAAGUGACUCAACUAUGUGGGGAGGCUAAAGGAAGAUAAUUUUAACAAGUCAUAAGAUGGAUGAAAAAGCUUCAAGCAUCACAACCAUUUUCAGAGUCAAGAAGCAGGGGACACUACUGGACAGAGCUUUCUACGUACCUAUUUUUUUUACCAGGAAGGACAUAACCUUCUCAAAUCAUGAAUCCAGUAGUUUUCCUUGCAUUUUCAUUGACUACAAUUGUGUCACAUGAUGAUCCCCAGCUAUAAAGGAGGCUGGGAAAAUGAGUGUCCAUUUCUACCUCUGUAACUAGAAGGAUGAAGGGAGAAGGAGUUGGGAAUGACUUUUGGGUAACAAGUCAUAACUUCCAUAUACUAUAUGCUCAGUAACCAUUUGUUGAAUGAGUUAACAAGUAAUCCACAGUGUUCAACAGAGCUCAAGUUAAGAUAUAUACCCACCUUUCAUUAUCUUUCCUAUUAAAUUUACAUUUUAUUUUCCUCAUUUCUUCAAAAACAUUAAGAGAGGUUCAAAGUUGUAUUACUUAUUAACAAACAUUUGUUAAGUGUAUGGAAUCCACUAGUGCUUGCUCUGUGAUUGGGAAGAGAAUUAGAAAUGAUUAAUUCUAAGACACUCAUUUAUUUAUUCAAGACAUUCAUCCAUUUACUCAAGAAAUAUUUGUUGAAUGUCUACUAGGUGCCAGACACUAUUGUAGAGUUAUGAGAUGUAUCUGUAAAUAAAACAAAGAGUCCUUCCCUUGAGAAAAACCUGCACUCUAAUAAAGCAUAUUGACAUUUUAAUUGGAUUUUAAGAAGUGAAUUGCAAUUUCAUAAAUAAACAUAACUGGGACUGCAUUUCAUUUAAAGGGAAUAACAUGAGCAAAGAUACAGAAAUGUGAAUAUGAGUGUCCUGUUUGGGGAGUAUCAAGUAGCUCCAUGAAGCACAUCAUUACAUGAUGAGGGCUGAAAAGGCAGGUUAGUGUUAUUUGUGAAGGGUUAUAUCCAGAGCAGUAUGAGUUUUUCCAGGUCAAAACUAGCAUCUCUUAAAGUUAGUACAAAAGCUUACUAGAUAUCUUCACUUGGAGGUUAUACAAACACCUUGAACUUGUCUUGUCCCAAAUGGACUCAUGAUAUUUCUCCUGAAACUUGUUCUUACUCCUGUCUUUCCCAACUUGGUUUAGGCCCUCACCAAUUCUCACUUAGGCUAUUGCCAUUAUCUCCUUCCUACCUGCAGCCUCCUACUCCUCUAGUCCAUCCUCUCAACUGCUUUAGAAAGUGAUUUUUCUAAAACUUAUAUAGCCCAGAGGUCAUCUAAAAGCCACAGUUAAUGAAAUAUCUGUAAACUUAGUGAAGACAGAGUUUGGGGAGGGGGGUUGUUGUGUAUUAGUUUUCUAUUGUUGUGUAACAAACUACCACAAUUUUAGAGGCUUAAGAUAACACAUAUUUCUUAUUUCACAGUUAGGAGUCUGGUACCAUUUAGCUGGGUCCUCUGCUUAGGGUCUCAUUAAGAUUACAAAGUGUCAACAGGGCUGUGUUCACAUCUGAAGUUGUGACUGGGGAAGAAUCCUCUUUCAAGCUCAUUGGGUCAUUGGCAGAAUUCAUUUAUUUGCAAUUGUGUGACUCAGAGCCCCACUUCUUUCUGGCUAUUAGCUGGAGGCUGCUCUCAGCUUUUAGACACCACCUAUAGUCACUUGCCAUGUGGACUUUUCCAACAUGGCUGCUUACUUCAUCAAACCAGCAAAACAGUCUGUAGAGUGAGUCUGCUAGCAAAGACAGAGCAAUGUGGUCAUAGGAGUGACAGCCCAUCAUCUUUGCUAUAUUCUUUUCAUUAUAAGCAAAUAACAGAUCCUGCCUACAUGCCAAGGGAUGUGAACACCAGAUAUGUGAAUACCAAGAGGUAAAGAUCAUGAGGAGCUACCUUAAAGUUUUGUUUGUCAUGACAUUCUUAUAGUAUCUACCCUCAGGAUUUGCUCAAUAGGAACUGUCUCUGAGGAUGAUCUUGAAGUGAAGUUUAGUUUCUACCAAAAAAAAAAAUUUCCA